GACGAACGCUGGCGGCGUGCUUAACACAUGCAAGUCGAGCGGAGCGGCGAACGGGCGAGUAACGCGGGAGUAACUGCCCCCCUCCCUGGGAUAACAGCUGGCAACGGCUGCUAAUACCUGAUAGUGGGGGAUGACUCGCGUCCUAUCGGCUUGUGGGUGGGGUAGUGGCCUACCAAGGCGACGCAGGGUAGCCGGCCUGAGAGGGCGACCGGCCACAUUGGGCGGAGGUACGGGCCAAAGUCCUACGGGGGGCAGCGGUGGGGAAUAUGGCACAAGGGGGGAAACUCUGAUGCAGCAACGCCGCGGGCGGGAUGACGGCUUACGGGUUGUAAACGGCUUUCAGCCAGGACGCGUUAGUGGCAGAAGAAGCACCGGCUAACUACGUGCCAGCAGCCGCGGUAAUAC
rnacentral:rRNA from 1 species